ensembl:lncRNA
AGGGUAUGGUAGUAGGUGCCUUUGAACAGGGUAUGGUAGUAGGUGCCUUUGAACAGGGUACGGUAGUAGGUGCCUUUGAACAGGGUACGGUAGUAGGUGCCUUUGAACAGGGUAUGGUAGUAGGUGCCUUUGAACAGGGUAUGGUAGUAGGUGCCUUUGAACAGGGUAUGGUAGUAGGUGCCUUUGAACAGGGUAUGGUAGUAGGUGCCUUUGAACAGGGUACGGUAGUAGGUGCCUUUGAACAGGGUACGGUAGUAGGUGCCUUUGAACAGGGUACGGUAGUAGGUGCCUUUGAACAGGGUACGG